CUCCGUCCGUGUAUUGAAGCAUCUCGUUGGCGCCAGCCUAUGUUCCUUGAACAGACGUCACAGAGGUGAGAAUCCCGUGCUUGCUGGCUGUCCCAUUCCAUGUGAGGUUGCUUCAGCAGUGGCAGUUGUUUGGGAAUGCAGCUCAAAAUGGGUGGUAAAUUUCAUCUAAAGCUAAAUAUUGGUGGGAGACGCAUGAGCCACAGAUAGCGCACAAGUAGAGUGAUCGAAAGAUGAAAAGCACUUUGAAAA
rnacentral:rRNA from 1 species